rnacentral:lncRNA from 12 species
GCAUAUAGCUUAUUGAUUCACGGAUAUAUAUAUAUAUAUUAUAUAUAGUGAAUAUUAAAUUUUUUCAAAGAUUAUUUGUUCAUGAGAGACACAGAGAGAAGCAGAGACAUAGCAGAGGGAGAAGCAGGCUCCAUGCAAGGAGCCCAAUGUGGGACUCAAACCCGGGAAUCCGGGAUCAUGCCGAGCCAAAGGCAGAUGUUCAACUGCUAAACCACUCAGGCAUCCCUGAAUAUAAAAUUCUUUAUUGGAUACGCAUACAGUAACUAUCUUCUCUUUUGUGAUUUGACUUUUCGUUCUUUUACUGAUGCCUCUUGUUUUAUUUUUUUCUAUCUCCAGUUUACCCAGACUUAUAGAUUGUGUCCUUCCAGGAUCCAGACUGAGAGCUUGUGAUGCUUAACCCAUUGUUAGCUAGUUUUGUUUACCUGGAAUCUUUGAAAAUGGAGAUAAAUGGAAGGUUACUUAAAAUGCUCAAAUAUAAAAAGGAUGCUGCUAUUAUUUCAAUUUGGAUAUUCUGUGCUCAAAUCUAUUCUUGGGACUAUAUGAUGUUGGGGCUGGCACUCUGAACAUUGGAUUUCUCCUUUCCCUCUUGUCUACCUGCCCAUCAGAGAUUGGAAGGCAAGGUGAGGGAAGGGGGUGAACUCUGUUCUGUUUGUGUUCAACACUUGUCAGCAAGUACUUCUCCCCCGUCCCUUCCCCCACCACCCCUGGCAGCAUUCAGUUC